rnacentral:rRNA from 1 species
UACAGAGGUCUCAAGCGUUGUUCGGAUUCAUUGGGCGUAAAGGGUGCGUAGGUGGCGCUGUAAGUCGGGUGUGAAAUUUCGGAGCUUAACUCCGAAACUGCAUUCGAUACUGCGGUGCUCGAGGACUGGAGAGGAGACUGGAAUUCAUGGUGUAGCAGUGAAAUGCGUAGAGAUCAUGAGGAAGACCAGUGGCGAAGGCGGGUCUCUGGACAGUUCCUGACGCUGAGGCACGAAGGUCAGGGGAGCAAACGGG